GAAGAAAGGCGACGACGAUAGAAAAGAGAGAAGAAAUUGGCAAGAAUGAGAAAGGGAGAAAGGAAAUUUAACGGUGGAACGGCGAGAGGGGAAAAGGGAAAAAGACGAAGAGCGUUCGCCGGAUAAUCCUUGGGAGUCAUUUGUCUGCCGGCUGUUGAGACGCUCAUUUGUUCGCGGCGCGAUGACAGAUGACAAUGAAGUAGAGAUCGUGCCACGGUCAUGGAGCGUGGGUUGAUAAAGGUGGAGGAAAGGGGGAAAAAAGCAGCAGCAUACCCCGCCUCUAGCAGUUAGGAUGCAGAUCUGUUUGCCGUUCGUGCCUCAAUUAUUCUCGGAUCAUCGUUGUGUAUCGGUCUGCAGAACAAUCGAAUCGUAUUUGUGUCGCCGUGAUUAAAAACAUAAUGUUCUGUUUCGCAAGCGAUAAGUCGCUCUCUUAAAAGAGAGAAAGAGAAGGAAUUAUCACAUUGAACGUAUUCAUCUUGUCGAAAGAAGGAAGUAAAGUAAAAUAUCGAAAAAAGCAUCCGGCCGGUCGAAAACGAAGAAACGGGAAGUCGUGAAGAAUGAAACUAAGCGCUGCAAAGCUGAGGGGGAAAUAGACGAAGAAGAGAGAAGAAGAAACUAUCGUUCUCUUCCUGGCUAUUAAAUUUAAUAGCCAAUAUCUCCCCUAUUGCUAGCACUUUUUAUGCCUUUUAUCUCCUUGCGAUUCUUUCAAGAUAAGUAAACAUUGAUUUUCUUUAAUAAAUUUUUGAUUGUUGAUUCUUCUGUAAUAACAUUUUUUAUCCAUUUUCUAAUAUUUAAUUAA